AUGACAUUAUUUCUUUCCUUUUAAUGACUAAGUAAUAGUCCAUUUUGUAUCUAUACCACAUCUUUAGUUUUAAUGACACUCAGUUCAUCUAAUUUUCCUUUUGUUGUUUAUAUUUUCGGUGUCAUAUUUUUUUAAAACUUGCCUAAUCCAAGAUUACUAAUAUUUACUCCUGUAUUUUAUACCAAGAAGCAAUGGUUUUGGCUCAUGUAUUUUGACUUUGAUACAUAUGGAAUUAAUUUUACAUAUGAUGUAAGGUAGCUAUCUUAGUCUUUUCAGGUUUCUAUAACAAAAUACCACAGACUGGGUGGUUUAUAAACAACAGAAAUCUAUUCCUCACUGUCUGGGAGGCUGGGACUCUGAGAUUCAGGUAUAAGCAGGGUUGAGUGAGGAAUGUCUUCCACAUUGCAGACUUUGUUUCUUUCCUCACAGGGCAGAAGGUAUUUGUGAGCCCUGUGGACUUUCUCUCAUAAGAGCAAUCAUCCCAUCUAUGAGGGCUCCAUCUUCAUGACCUCCUGAUCUUUCACAGGCCCCGUAUACUAACGCCAUCACUUCUGUGGAUUAGGAUUUCAACAUAUGGAUUCUGAGGAGACACAAACAUUUACGUCAUAGCAGUGGGAAUCCAGUUUUAUUCUUUAUCUGUGGCUAAUUGUUCCAGCACCACUUGUAGAAAAGACUCUUCUUUCCCCUAUCGACUUAUCUUGGCACACUUGUCAAAAGUGAAUUCAUCAGGAAGUUCCUGUGGUGGCUCAUUGGGGUUUUGAACCUGACUAGUAUCCGUAAGGAUGUGGGUUCAAUUCCUGGCUUCACUCUGUGGAUUAAGGAUUCAUCAUCGGUGGUAGCUGUGGUGUGUUGUAGGUUGCAGAUGCAGCUCAGAUGCUUACCUUAAUCCCCCAGGCUCCCUGUUUCCCUCAGCUUUCUCUUCUGCUCUCCUCUCCCCAGCACACAGGCAGGCCCCACUCAGGCAACCCACAGGCACACACAGCAUGCAAGCCCGGCCACGCCCCCCACGGCCUUCCCAGCACUACCGCUUCCCCCUCCCCCCAUUCUCUACCUUGAAUGUAACUUCAACGUGUCAACUAGAGCUAGAGUGUCCAUCCUUACCUUAAUCCUCAAGGCUCCGAGUUUCCCUCAGCUUUCUCCUCUGCUCUCCUUUCCCUGGCACACUCGCGGGCGCCAAGCAUGAAACACCCACGCAGGCACAGCAGGCAAGCCGGGCCCCGCCCCCCACGGCCCUCCCAGCACUACCACUUCCCUCUCCCUUUUUAAGACCUUGCUUCAACUCUGCAAAGGGAUCCCCUCCACCCUCUUCCAAUUCUCUACUCUGAAGCUAACUGCAACCUGGCAGCUGCAGCUCGCCCAUAUCAUCACCUUAAUCUUCCAGGCUCCCUUUUUCCCUCAGCUUUCUCUUCUUCUCUCCUCUCCCCAGCACACAGGCACGCCCCACGCAGGCAACCCCACACCCGCACUGCACGCAUCCCGGUCCCUGACCGCCAAGGCCCUCCCCGCACUCCCGCCUCACCCCCUCCCUUUCUGACAUCUUUCCUCAGCUCCUCAAGGGAUCCCCUCCACCCUCUUCCCCUCCUCUACACUCUAACUUCAACCUGGCAGCUGGAGCUAGAGUGCACAUCCUUACCUUAAUCCCAGAGUCUCCAGUUGUCCCUCAGUUUAGUCUUCUGCUCUCCUGUCCCAGCACACACGCAGGCCCCACGCACGCAUCCCCUACGCUAGCACUGCGCUCAAUCUGGUCUUCGCCCCCCUCGGUGCUCCCAAGGUUAUAGAUAUUCUGCAUACUCUAAACACUCUACUUAGUAGAUUUUAUUUUUUUCAUUUUAUAUCGAAAUUUUACAGUACUUAAAUUACAUUAGUACAGCUUAGUCAAGUGGAUGCAGGAUAAAACCAUUUAAUGUUUAAUAAUUUAAUUCCUCUUGUUUAGAAUAUUUUCACUCUUUUUACAGCAUUGACUAAAACAUUUUAAGAAAUGGUAUCACUCUGAAGAUUGAUUUAUUAGAGUAAUUAAAAUUUAGGAAAGGAUGUAAAUUGUCAAACUGAUAUUUCAGAACUUGACUGAAAAUUUGCUGAAGAAGGAACUGGACUGUCCCCAGAGUUGAAACAUAAUGAAGAAUGUGUGAGUAAGAAGAAUAUACAAGCAAGCCUUCAUCAAAAAAACCUAGAUUGUCAAGAGCUUUAGUCAAGGUUAUCUGCAUCUGAAACUUCACUCCAGAGAAUAUAGGCAGAGUUGGGUGAAAAGGGAAAAGCUACUCAAAUGCUCAAAGAAGAAUUAUCAGAAGUGGAGACCAUGUACCAGCAUCUUAAGGCAGAUGUUAAACAGCUAUAACAACAGAGAGAAGAAAAGGAGCAGCAUGGGUUACAACUUCAAAGUGAAAUUAAUCCAAUAAGAGCUGUUAUUUUUAUUUAUUUUACAUAGCAAACUUCUGGAGACAGAGCGCCAUCUAGGGGAAGCUCAUGGUAUGCUGAAAGAACAGGCAGCUUUCAAGUGGAAAGUUGAUGGAUAAAGAACAAGUGGUUGAUCUACACCUCAAACUUUCUCGUUUAGAAAAAGUUUCAGAAGGAAAAAGUAACAAAUUCCACAGAAUUGCAGCAUCAGUUAGAUAAAACAAAGCAACAGCAUCAAGAACAACAAGCUCUUCAGCAAAGCACUACGGCAAAACUUUGAGAAGCUCAGUCCAACAAAUAUGUAUUACUGUCUACUCUCAGCCAAGGAAGUGAUUUUGUGGAUAUGGCCUCAGAGACAGCAAACAAAAAUGUCUGCUCUCAUGGAGCUUAGUGAAGAAGGCAAACAAUAGCCCAGAAUGAUUGGGAAAAAGUGCUUCGUCAAUUUGGUGAUAAGGACCAAAAGAUCCAGAACCUUGAAGCCUUAUUACAGGAGAGUAAAGAAAAUAUUUCUUUCCUAGAAAAGGAAAGAGAAGAUUUUAUGCAAAAACUCAGGCUGGUGAAGGAGAGACCGCUGUUCUUAAUCAGUUGCAGGAAGAAAACCAUAUAUUACAGGAACAAGUAACUCAACUAAAGGCCCAGGAGAAUUUGCAUGACCAGGUGCAAGAGCAGAAGGCACUUCUUAGAGCUGCACAAGACUGUCCUCUCCCUAGAAGCCAGCAUCAAUGAAUUAAAUAAUCAAUUAAAUGAAAGAAAGGAGAAGGUCUCCCAGCUUGACAUACAGAUUAAAGCCAAAACUGAAUUAUUACUAUCAGCAGAAGCAGCAAAAACUGCUCAAAGAGCAGAUCUUCAAAAUCAUUUGGACACAGCUCAAAAUGCAUUACAAGAUCAACAGCAGGUAAGGGAACUUGAUACGAUUUUUUA